GGUAUACACCAAUUGCAAAAUGCAAUAUACAAACAAUUGAGCCGAUAUAUCUUGUUGAGAUUGACGAAAUCAUCACCAGCAUCUAGCUGUUGAUUGACAAAAUGCACUAAUGCAAAGAGUUGAAGUGAGCAUGUUCCACCAAAGAGAACAUAGACAACUUAGGUAAGUUUAGUUCGCGGGUGGGAUCAUUUAAAUGCACAAUAUACAUCUUUUUCAUAGAUUUGCAGCAACGUAAGAACAUACUCCCU
rnacentral:lncRNA from 1 species